GUAAGCCUAUCUUUGUGGGACAGAGGGAGAAUAACCUAUGGAUGUUAUAAUUUGCUUGUGUUGGCAUAGCGUGAGGCUAGUGAUCGGCAGAAGACUAUAGGGAGGACAAACACUUAUAAAAUGUGAAUGUGAUGCUGUUUUUUUGACGCAUCAUGAAGGUCAAGAUACACCCACAUACAACACACAACGUGUUUGAGAAAAUAAUUCUGCAGAAUUUUAUAUAUCAAAACUUAAAAUCUGAAAAUACAUAGAAUAUAUGGGGCUAUUUAUAAAUUUUUGAUCUCCUAGACCUAGUAGGAAAAUUAAUCUACUAUUUAG
rnacentral:misc_RNA from 1 species